AAACNGUCGGUCUGGAGGGUYGGAGGGGGGACUGGAAUUCUUGGUGUAGCAGUGAAAUGCGUAGAUAUCAAGAGGAACACCAGUGGCGAAGGCGASUCCCUGGACAAUACCUGACACUGAGGCACGAAAGCSWRGGGAGCAAACAGGAUUAGAUACCCUGGUAGUCUUGGCUGUAAACGRUGCGCAYUUGCUGUAAACGGAAUCRACCCCGUUUGUGGCGUANCUAACGCGAUAAAUGCSCCSCCUGGGAAGUACGGUCGCAAGAUUAAAACUCAARGGA
rnacentral:rRNA from 1 species